rnacentral:rRNA from 1 species
AACGAACGCUGGCGGCAGGCUUAACACAUGCAAGUCGAGCGCCCCGCAAGGGGAGCGGCAGACGGGUGAGUAACGCGUGGGAAUCUACCCAUCUCUACGGAAUAACGCAUGGAAACGUGUGCUAAUACCGUAUACGUCCUUCGGGAGAAAGAUUUAUCGGAGAUGGAUGAGCCCGCGUUGGAUUAGCUAGUUGGUGGGGUAAAGGCCUACCAAGGCGACGAUCCAUAGCUGGUCUGAGAGGAUGAUCAGCCACACUGGGACUGAGACACGGCCCAGACUCCUACGGGAGGCAGCAGUGGGGAAUAUUGGACAAUGGGCGCAAGCCUGAUCCAGCCAUGCCGCGUGAGUGAUGAAGGCCCUAGGGUUGUAAAGCUCUUUUGUCCGGGAAGAUAAUGACUGUACCGGAAGAAUAAGCCCCGGCAAACUUCGUGCCAGCAGCCGCCGUAACAC